UAAUUUGGACAGGUCCAGUAACUUUUAAGUUUGGAAAUUACAAUGGGAGCCUACCAGCAGUUCUUGACAAUCCAUUUCGAUGGACAAAGGACGUCAGCAUGAUAUACAUAGAUGCACCUGUUGGUGCUGGAUUCUGCUACUCAAAAACUCAAAGCGGUCAUGUUAUGGAUGACUAUAAAUAUGUUGCACAAAGCUAUGAAUUUCUGCAGAAGUGGCUGGAGGCACACCCUGCAUAUUUGGAAAAUAUGCUCUACAUUGGUGGUGACUCCUUCUCUGGCAUAAUUGUGCCAAUGAUUGUGCAACAAAUAUUGGAUGUUA